GAUCGCCUCUCUGCUUGUUUCACUCAAGGUUUUCUUGCUGUCUUUAAAGCAGUGACUUGUUCCCUUCUCCCUCUCUACAAGUCACCCCAGAACUCUGAACCCCAACCAUGUAGGAGUGGCAGAAAGCUGAAGGCAUACAGAAAGCUAAAGAGGAGCUGUGCUUUAUUUGAUGUGGAACACUCCAAGGUACUCCAGGUUUGAAAACGCCCUCUACUGAUACGGAUCAGCAACUCAUCUGUAACUUAUACUUAAGACAGUGAGUCAAUUGGUCUAGAUGGCCUCCAAUGUCCCUUUCUGCUUUAGACCUCAGACCUUUGUCUGAGGACACUGAGAGGUUAAAUGACUUGCCCCUGGUCACACAUUCUUUAACCCUGCUAGUUCUUGUCAGUGGCAGAACUUGAACCCAGGUCUGCUUGACUUCAAAGUCAGUCCCUUAUCCUCUACACCACACAGCUUCUCUAUGUUGUUCUUAUCAUAUUCUAUUUUGUGUUACGGUUAUUCGUGCACUUGUGGCAUGGUGUUUCAGAAAGAGCACUAGACUUGAGAAACAAAAGACUUGAAUUUUGGAUUCUGUUAUGUUCAUCGGCUAGCUGUGAGACCAUGGGUAAGUCAUGGAAGUUUUCUGGUCCAGUCCUAGUUUUGUCAUUUAUGAAAUGGGGAUGAUGCAACUAGUCUGUCUUACAGAAUUCUGUAAGCAAAGUACAUGACUGUGGGCUAUGAUAACCAUUUUAUGAUCUCCCUACUUACAUAAAAGCUUCCCUCUGAUGCUUCAUUGUGACCUGGAGGUGAGCCUUGGUCCAUACCAGGGUAGUGCAAAUUCUGCUAGACCACAUCAAGCUGAAAAAGAUUUUGAUUAUAUACAAGCCUGCUAAAGUCUUGUUGUCUGAGGACCAUUCUAGCUUCCUCUAGACUAGAGAAAUCAUUCAAUUCAAUUCAAUUUAAUUCAGUUUAGUCAUAGUGGGAUCAUUCAUAUAGAGCUAGAAGGGACCUCAGAGGUCUUUCACUUUACAGAUGAGGAAGUGAAUGCUGAAACAGUUUGAAUGACGUGCUACGGGUCACACAAAUAGAAAGAGGCUAAACCUGAUUUGAGUCCAGGUCUUCUGACUUCAAAUCUAGUGCUCUUUCCAUCAUCCUGUAGUAACCAAAAAAAGGUUGACUACUAGGUGAUUAACUUUUUUGGCCACAGUAACCCUUGAAGACCAUUUUCUAAAGAGGAGGAUUUUCAAUCUCCAUUGGUUAAGGGAAUAUUGAUAUCAAUAUCAAUAUCAAUGAUAACUCAGAUCUCCUGAAAUAUUGAAGACAUUAAAAUGUUAUCUCCUCACUAAAAUGAAAUCUCACAGGAAGGGAUUUGUGCUGCUUUAUUUGCCUUUAUAUUCCCCACAAUGGGAAAUAAAAUCCAAUCCAGUUCAAUAAAUAUUUAUUAAGCAUCUACUAUGUCAAAGGAUGUAGGUUAGGUGCCGGGGAUAUAAAGAAACAACAAGGAGCCAAGAUGGCGGAGUAAGAGGUGAGUCGCUUUUACCCUCCCUUAUUAACCUCUGA